rnacentral:tRNA from 1 species
CCAUAAAUGUGAGUUAUAUUCUUACAGGUAGUACUAUGCAAAUUAAUGAUUUUAUUUUUAUUAUGUUGGAA